UUCUUGAAUGUCACCAACUUUUUAAAAAUUUCCUUACAGAUAAAAAAGUUUCCCUAUGCCCUAGAAGUGGAUCCUAAUCCCUAAAUGCAGGGAAACUUGCUUAAUUAAGGGCAAGGUCUCCUUUUUGUUAAGGAAUUUAUUCCUGGAAAAGAUUUAGACCACGUGUGGAAACGAAACAAAAGAAACAAGUUGAAGAAGACUUGCCAAUAAAGAAAAGUGGAAUUUAUCUUCUGUAAUAAAUUAAAGUGAAGAAAAAAGAAGGAACUUCGAAAUAAAAAGAGCUAAAAUUACAGUGAAAGAAUCUUCAAAAGGAAGGUAAAAAGGCACACUUUUUGUGGCGGCACACAAGCAGAUUUAAAUGUUGCUGGCUAAUUUUCACCCUGAAAAUUCAGAAAACAGAAUCUAAAAAGGAGAAGAACGAAAUUCAAUCCAGCAAGAAUGAAAUCCACGAUUCACUCUUAAAAGUUUGUAUUUUACAGGCUUGUACGUUGUGUAUUUCUUUUAUAAGAAACGUGUUACGAAGGAAAGUAUUCUUUUUAUCUGAAUCCAACAUAUAUACAUAUAUAUAAUUCUACAUUUAACAAUGGGGAUAUGAAUAAAACAAACAUUCUAAUAUUAAAAAGUUACUUGGAGUAAAAUCUAUAAAAUUUAAAUUAAUACAUGUUAUUACUUUCAGUUGUUCUUUGGAUGAAACAGUUUAAGAAGAAAAUAUUUUCCAAGAUUAAAGAAAAUAUUGUAUGCUGUUUUACUUACAUCGAUGCUCCUCAUUUUAAAAUAUAAUUGAAGAAGCAGAAGAUAGAUUUAUUUCAUGGAUAUAGAAAUAAGGAUCAAUGCAAAAGCAUGAAGAUAUACAAACGCUUUUAAAAUGUUUUACAGAAAUUGUUUACUUUAAUAUGUUGUUUGUGAUUUAG
rnacentral:lncRNA from 1 species